rnacentral:rRNA from 1 species
CUGCUGCCUUCCGUAGGAGUCUGGUCCGUGUCUCAGUACCAGUGUGGGGGACCUUCCUCUCAGAACCCCUACGCAUCGUCGCCUUGGUGGGCCGUUACCCCGCCAACUAGCUAAUGCGCCGCAUGCCCAUCCUCCGCCGGAAUCGCUUCCUUUUAACACCCGUGGGAUGCCCCACAGAUGUACCACGCGGUAUUAGUCCGGAUUUCUCCGGGUCAUCCCCCUGCGGAGGGCAGGUUGCAUACGUGUUACUCACCCGUGCGCCGGUCG